AUUGAACACUGGCGGCAGGCCUAACACACGCAAGUCGAACGGUAGCACAGAGAGCUUGCUCUCGGGUGACGAGUGGCGGACGGGUGAGUAAUGUCUGGGAAACUGCCUGAUGGAGGGGGAUAACUACUGGAAACGGUAGCUAAUACCGCAUAACGUCGCAAGACCAAAGAGGGGGACCUUCGGGCCUCUUGCCAUCAGAUGUGCCCAGAUGGGAUUAGCUAGUAGGUGGGGUAACGGCUCACCUAGGCGACGAUCCCUAGCUGGUCUGAGAGGAUGACCAGCCACACUGGAACUGAGACACGGUCCAGACUCCUACGGGAGGCAGCAGUGGGGAAUAUUGCACAAUGGGCGCAAGCCUGAUGCAGCCAUGCCGCGUGUAUGAAGAAGGCCUUCGGGUUGUAAAGUACUCUCAGCGGGGAGGAAGGCGACACGGUUAAUAACCGUGUUGAUUGACGUUACCCGCAGAAGAAGCACCGGCUAACUCCGUGCCAGCAGCCGCCGUAAAAC
rnacentral:rRNA from 1 species